AUACGUAGGGGGCGAGCGUUGUCCGGAAUUAUUGGGCGUAAAGGGCGCGUAGGCGGCCCGGUAAGUCUGUAGUGAAAGUCCUGUUUUUAAGAUGGGAAUUGCUUUGGAUACUGUCGGGCUUGAGUGCAGGAGAGGGAAGUGGAAUUCCCAGUGUAGCGGUGAAAUGCGUAGAGAUUUGGAGGAACACCAGUGGCGAAGGCGACUUACUGGACUGUAGCUGACGCUGAGGCGCGGAAGUGUGGGGAGCAAACAGGAUUAGAUACCCUGGUAGUCCACACUGUAGACGGUGAAUGCUAGGUGUAGGGGGUAUCGACCCCUUCUGUGCCGCAGUCAACACAAUAAGCAUUCCGCCUGGGGAGUACGGCCGCAAGGUUGAAACUCAAAUGAAUUGACGGGG
rnacentral:rRNA from 1 species